AGCUUUUGAGCUAAAUAUAUUAUAAUAUUAGUUAUUUAUAUAAAGUGUUGUAAAAUUUUAUUAAAAAAUAUAUUUAGGGGUGAUAGGCUAUUCAAAAACUAAGAUAUCUUGAAUCUAAUUAAAAGUAUGUAGUACAUUUCAACACGACUAUUUAAGUGAUUAGGCUUUAUAGAAAUAUUAACUUUUUUUUAAGAUAUAUAUUUAUUAUAAUUUAAUAACUAAAUAUUAUAAGUAAAUUAUUAUUAAUAUAUAUUUAUUUAUAUGGAGUAAUUAGAUAAAUUUUAGUUUAUUUUAAUUGAAAUAAUGUUAAUAUUAGUAUAUAUUUUUAUUUUUAUUUGAUGAACUCGGCAAAAAUGUAUUUCUCAACUGUUUAUCAAAAACAUAACUAUGUGAGAUUAUUCAUAGUGGUUUCUGCUCAA
rnacentral:rRNA from 1 species